AGAAAGAGAGAGAGAGAGAGAGAGAGAUGGUAGAAAUGGUCAGUCAGAUAGAAUGAGCUACUAACACAGGUCUUGCUAACAAAGCCAGGAUUAAGUAUUAUUAAAGCUAUAGAGCGCAAGAGCGGCGCAAGUCUCCCGGUCUCACUGCAAAAACAACAUGGACUGCUUAACGAGGAGAAACAGACAGAGAAAGAAGAGGAAGAGGAGGAGGAUGAAGAGGAGGAGGAGGGGUGUUUCAUCCUCCACCGACCAUCACUGGGUUCCCAUUUCUUCUAUUGAGGAAACGUCUAUAUAUCAUUAUAAAGCCAAAUAAAAUUGUGUAUAACAAAA